GACGAACGCUGGCGGCGUGCCUAAUACAUGCAAGUCGAACGCAGUGGGGACGGGUGAGUAACACGUGGGUAACCUCCCAUCAGAGGGGAUAACACUUGGAAACAGGUGCUAAACCGAUACUGAUGGAUGGACCCGCGGGGCAUUAGCUAGUUGGUGAGGUAACGGCUCACCAAGGCGACGAUCCGUAGCUGGUUUGAGAGGACGACCAGCCACACUGGGACUGAGACACGGCCCAGACUCCUACGGGAGGCAGCAGUGGGGAAUAUUGGACAAUGGGGGAAACCCUGAUCCAGCCAUCCCGCGUGUAUGAUGAAGGCCUUCGGGUUGUAAAGUACUUUUGGCAGGGAGGCGGUAUCUACACAGGAAGCCACGGCUAACUACGUGCCAGCAGCCGCGGUAAUAC
rnacentral:rRNA from 1 species